UGAUUUUGGGAAAGGCCAUGAAGGGC
rnacentral:piRNA from 1 species